AGAGUUUGAUCCUGGCUCAGAACGAACGCUGGCGGCAGGCCUAACACAUGCAAGUCGAGCGCACCUUCGGGUGAGCGGCGGACGGGUUAGUAACGCGUGGGAACGUGCCCAGAUCUGCGGAAUAGCCACUGGAAACGGUGAGUAAUACCGCAUACGCCCUUCGGGGGAAAGAUUUAUCGGAUUUGGAUCGGCCCGCGUUAGAUUAGGUAGUUGGUGGGGUAACGGCCUACCAAGCCUACGAUCUAUAGCUGGUUUUAGAGGAUGAUCAGCAACACUGGGACUGAGACACGGCCCAGACUCCUACGGGAGGCAGCAGUGGGGAGUCUUGGACAAUGGGCGCAAGCCUGAUCCAGCCAUGCCGCGUGAGUGAUGAAGGCCUUAGGGUCGUAAAGCUCUUUCGCCAGGGAUGAUAAUGACAGUACCUGGUAAAGAAACCCCGGCUAACUCCGUGCCAGCAGCCGCGGUAAUACGGAGGGGGUUAGCGUUGUUCGGAAUUACUGGGCGUAAAGCGCGCGUAGGCGGACCAGAAAGUUAGGGGUGAAAUCCCGGGGCUCAACCCCGGAACUGCCUCUAAAACUCCUGGUCUAGAGUUCGAGAGAGGUGAGUGGAAUUCCGAGUGUAGAGGUGAAAUUCGUAGAUAUUCCGAAGGAACACCAGUGGCGAA
rnacentral:rRNA from 1 species